AGCAUUAUACCGUGAAACUGCGAAUGGCUCAUUAAAUCAGUUAUCGUUUAUUUGAUAGUACCUUACUACUUGGAUAACCGUGGUAAUUCUAGAGCUAAUACAUGCUAAAAACCCCAACUUCGGGAGGGGUGUGUUUAUUAGAUAAAAAACCAAUGCCCUUCGGGGCUCUCUGGUGAUUCAUGAUAACUUCUCAGAUCGCAUGGCCUUGCGCCGGCGACGGUUCAUUCAAAUUUCUGCCCUAUCAACUUUCGAUGGUAAGGUAUUGGCUUACCAUGGUUUCAACGGGUAACGGGGAAUUAGGGUUCGAUUCCGGAGAGGGAGCCUGAGAAACGGCUACCACAUCCAAGGAAGGCAGCAGGCGCGCAAAUUACCCAAUCCCGACACGGGGAGGUAGUGACAAUAAAUACUGAUAUAGGGCUCUUUUGGGUCUUGUAAUUGGAAUGAGUACAAUUUAAACCUCUUAACGAGGAACAAUUGGAGGGCAAGUCUGGUGCCAGCAGCCGCGGUAAUUCCAGCUCCAAUAGCGUAUAUUAAAGUUGUUGCAGUUAAAAAGCUCGUAGUUGAACCUUUGGCCUGGCUGGCAGGUCCGCCUCACCGCGUGCACUUGUCCGGCCGGGCCUUUUCUUCUGGAGAACCGCAUGCCCUUCACUGGGUGUGUUGGGGACCAGGACUUUUACUUUGAAAAAAUUAGAGUGUUCAAAGCAGGCCUUUGCUCGAAUACGUUAGCAUGGAAUAAUAGAAUAGGACGUGCGGUCCUAUUUUGUUGGUUUCUAGGACCGCCGUAAUGAUUAAUAGGGACAGUCGGGGGCAUCAGUAUUCAAUUGUCAGAGGUGAAAUUCUUGGAUUUAUUGAAGACUAACUACUGCGAAAGCAUUUGCCAAGGAUGUUUUCAUUAAUCAGUGAACGAAAGUUAGGGGAUCGAAGACGAUCAGAUACCGUCGUAGUCUUAACCAUAAACUAUGCCGACUAGGGAUCGGGCGGUGUUUCUUUUUUGACCCGCUCGGCACCUUACGAGAAAUCAAAG
rnacentral:rRNA from 1 species